rfam:Schistosoma haematobium scaffold3_32, whole genome shotgun sequence.
AUCCAGUUGAUGAGUACCAAAUGGGACGAAACGCGCGUCCUCCAU